GCUAGGUGUGGUGGUGCAUGCCUGUGAUUCCAGCAGCUUGGGAGGCUGAGACAGGAGAAUUAUAAGUUCAAAGCCAGCCUCAGCAAAAGUGAGGUGCUAAGCAACUGAGUUGAGACCCUGUCUCUA
rnacentral:sRNA from 1 species